rnacentral:rRNA from 1 species
AGUGAACGCUGGCGGUAGGCCUAACACAUGCAAGUCGAACGGCAGCACAGGAGAGCUUGCUCUCUGGGUGGCGAGUGGCGGACGGGUGAGGAAUACAUCGGAAUCUACCUUUUCGUGGGGGAUAACGUAGGGAAACUUACGCUAAUACCGCAUACGACCUACGGGUGAAAGUGGGGGACCGCAAGGCCUCACGCGAUUAGAUGAGCCGAUGUCCGAUUAGAUAGUUGGCGGGGUAAUGGCCCACCGAGGCGACGAUCGGGAGCUGGUCUGAGAGGAUGAUCAGCCACACUGGAACUGAGACACGGUCCAGACUCCUACGGGAGGCAGCAGUGGGGAAUAUUGGACAAUGGGCGCAAGCCUGAUCCAGCCAUACCGCGUGGGUGAAGAAGGCCUUCGGGUUGUAAAGCCCUUUUGUUGGGAAAGAAAUCCUAUCGGUUAAUAACCGGUGGGGAUGACGGUACCCAAAGAAUAAGCACCGGCUAACUUCGUGCCAGCCGCCGCAGUAAGAC